AGACCCAUGACUAUUUUCAGCAAUGGAUAACUGGCCAGCUAUUUCCAACGUUUAGUGCCCAUUAUAUC
rnacentral:tRNA from 1 species